GUUACAGGCAGACAGUCACACACAGACAGUUACAGGCAGUCACACACAGUUACAUGUAGACAAUCACAUAUACAGUCAAAGGCAGAAAGUCACACACAUUUACAGGCAGACAGUCUCACACACAUCAAAACAAAAGAAAUAGGUGACUCCCCCGUGUAAAAAAUCUGGUGCUGCCAAAUCACCCAAGUGUAUUGUCACCAAAUAUACCUAAAACAUGAAGCUGGUAUGUAUGCCAGUGAGAUACAUACCAGCACUUGAGGAAGACCCAAUCUGGG